AUUUAAUUCGUUUAAUUUUAGUUUAUAAAUUGCAUAGUAUCAAUUCUUUGUGGGUUCAACCCUUGCUAUUGCACACUAUCACUACAACUGAUUCGUGCACUUGCGAGGACUAUAU